rnacentral:rRNA from 1 species
GACGAACGCUGGCGGCGUGCUUAACACAUGCAAGUCGAACGGAAAGGCCCCUUUGGGGGUGCUCGAGUGGCGAACGGGUGAGUAACACGUGGGUGAUCUGCCCUGCACUUUGGGAUAAGCCUGGGAAACUGGGUCUAAUACCGGAUAGGACCAUGGCCUGCAUGGGUUGUGGUGGAAAGUUUUCGGACGGUGUGGGAUGGGCCCGCGGCCUAUCAGCUUGUUGGUGGGGUGAUGGCCUACCAAGGCUGCGACGGGUAGCCGGCCUGAGAGGGUGUCCGGACACACUGGGACUGAGAUACGGCCCAGACUCCUACGGGAGGCAGCAGUGGGGAAUAUUGCACAAUGGGCGCAAGCCUGAUGCAGCGACGCCGCGUGGGGGAUGACGGCCUUCGGGUUGUAAACCUCUUUCACCAUCGACGAAGCCUCUUUGGGGGUGACGGUAGGUGGAGAAGAAGCACCGGCCAACUACGUGCCAGCAGCCGCCGUAACAC